ACGAUCAGUAGCCGACCUGAGAGGGUGACCGGCCACAUUGGGACUGAGACACGGCCCAAACUCCUACGGGAGGCAGCAGUGGGGAAUAUUGCACAAUGGGGGAAACCCUGAUGCAGCGACGCCGCGUGAGCGAUGAAGUAUUUCGGUAUGUAAAGCUCUAUCAGCAGGGAAGAAAAUGACGGUACCUGACUAAGAAGCCCCGGCUAACUACGUGCCAGCAGCCGCGGUAAUACGUAGGGGGCAAGCGUUAUCCGGAUUUACUGGGUGUAAAGGGAGCGUAGACGGCAUGGCAAGCCAGAUGUGAAAGCCCGGGGCUCAACCCCGGGACUGCAUUUGGAACUGUCAGGCUAGAGUGUCGGAGAGGAAAGCGGAAUUCCUAGUGUAGCGGUGAAAUGCGUAGAUAUUAGGA
rnacentral:rRNA from 1 species